rnacentral:rRNA from 1 species
CAACAGGGAUUGCCUAGUAACGGCGAGUGAAGCGGCAACAGCUCAAAUUUGAAAUCUGGCCUCACGGUCCGAGUUGUAAUUUGUAGAGGAUGCUUCUGGCGACGUGCCUUCCGAGUUCCCUGGAACGGGACGCCAUAGAGGGUGAGAGCCCCGUCCGGUCGUGCACCUAGCCUCUGUGAAGCUCCUUCGACGAGUCGAGUAGUUUGGGAAUGCUGCUCUAAAUGGGAGGUAUACGUCUUCUAAAGCUAAAUACCGGCCAGAGACCGAUAGCGCACAAGUAGAGUGAUCGAAAGAUGAAAAGCACUUUGAAAAGAGGGUUAAAUAGUACGUGAAAUUGCUGAAAGGGAAGCGCUUAUGACCAGACUUGGGCUCGGUGAAUCAUCCGGCGUUCUCGCCGGUGCACUUUGCCGUCCCAGGCCAGCAUCAGUUCGCGCCGGGGGAUAAAGGUUUCGGGAAUGUAGCUCCCUCGGGAGUGUUAUAGCCCGUUGCGUAAUACCCUGGCGUGGACUGAGGUCCGCGCUCUGCAAGGAUGCUGGCGUAAUGUCAUCA